rnacentral:tRNA from 1 species
GGGGUUGUGGCUCAGUGGUAGAAGCUCACCUAGCACAUGUGAGACCCUGGGUUCGAUCCUCAGCACCACCU